GAAAGAGCACAGUUUUGAGCUGGCUUAAAAGCAUUAAAAAAAAACAAAAGUAAGACACACCGCUGGUAAUACUUGAAGAGUGGAGAUGCAGAAGAGCUGCAACAAACUCGGCACAUCAUCUUAGACGCAGCACAGGCAGGUCCCGAGAGAAAGCGCUGCACAUUAGUGGCUCGUCGGACUACUCGCUCCCACAUAGUAACAUGCUCAUCUGUGAUAAAGCAUCCAAGAUGAUGCCAGAGGAUGUCCUCAGUGCCACCACUAAAUGAACAGAUGCUGACAUAUCCAUCCAUCCACCAUAUACAGAUACAGCUCACCCACCCUAGACCCCCUGGAGUAGCUGAGACUCCCACAUCUGUAAUGAAAUACUUGGACUAAACAUAAUGUAAUAAAACAGGGACUGUUUAUUAGCUGGACUGCCACAGAAGUAUUAAUUCCUUCCUUAGUCUUGGUCCUCCCAAGGUUUCUUCCUUAAUUCUGCCCAGGGAGUUUUUCCUUGCCACAUUUGCC